GCGUCUUUGUAUCCCUUUGUUUAUUUAUUUUAAUUUGAUGAAUGGUUUUUCUAUCUAUCUCUUGGAUAUUAAGCUUGAACCACCAAAAUCAAAAGAACUCAAAGUUGAACAACCAAAUUUGUGACGUAUAUAAGAAGUCACUGAUUGUUUAAAGUCUUUGUAUAUCGCUUUAUUUUGUUUUCAGUUUGAUGAAUGACUUUUCUAUCUAUCUAUUGGAGAGAAAGCUGAGACGGUGUUUCUGAGCUUCAUCUACACAUGAAAAGUACAGGGUGGUAUCGUUUUCCAUCCCAAGUCUUCACCAGCACAACACUGG